CAGGCAUGAACAGACAUGAGCAGGCAUGAAUAGGUUUGAUCAGGUCUGAACGUUUGUGUUAACGCUUCAGACAUGAACAGACAUGAACAGGCAUGAACAGGUCUGCUCAGGUCU